rnacentral:rRNA from 1 species
CACCGGCGGCUCGAGUGGUAACCGUUAUUAUUGGGUCUAAAGGGUCUGUAGCCGGCCGGAUAAGUCUCUUGGGAAAUCUGGCAGCUCAACUGUCAGGCUUUCAGGGGAUACUGUCUGGCUCGAGGCCGGGAGAGGUGAGAGGUACUUCAGGGGUAGGGGUGAAAUCUUGUAAUCCUUGAAGGACCACCAGUGGCGAAGGCGUCUCACCAGAACGGACCUGACGGCAAGGGACGAAAGCUAGGGGCACGAACCGGAUUAGAUACCCGGGUAGUCCUAGCCGUAAACGAUACUCGCUAGGUGUCGGCCACGGUGCGACCGUUGUCGGUGCCGUAGGGAAGCCGUGAAGCGAGCCACCUGGGAAGUACGGCCGCAAGGCUGAAACUUAAAGGAAUUGGCGGGGGAGCACCACAACGGGUGGAGCUUGCGGUUUAAUUGGAUUCAACGCCGGAAAUCUUACCGGGACCGACAGCAACAUGAAGGCCAGGCUGAAGACUUUGCCGGAUUAGCU